rnacentral:rRNA from 1 species
GACGAACGCUGGCGGCGUGCCUAAUACAUGCAAGUCGAGCGAAGUUUUUCUGGUGCUUGCACUAGAAAAACUUAGCGGCGAACGGGUGAGUAACACGUAAAGAACCUGCCUCAUAGACUGGGACAACUAUUGGAAACGAUAGCUAAUACCGGAUAACAGCAUUAACUGCAUGGUUGAUGUUUGAAAGUUGGUUUUGCUAACACUAUGAGAUGGCUUUGCGGUGCAUUAGCUAGUUGGUGGGGUAAAGGCCUACCAAGGCGACGAUGCAUAGCCGACCUGAGAGGGUGAUCGGCCACACUGGGACUGAGACACGGCCCAGACUCCUACGGGAGGCAGCAGUAGGGAAUUUUCGCA